UUUCAGCAAGAAUAUAGCUAGAUUUAUUGAGAUAUUUACAAGUUCAGCCUCUUCUAUGUGUCUCACAUCUGAACCAUCUUUAGUCAAGAGGCUAUUAAGGACACAUUCAAAGUCUGGGGUGUCCAGACAAGAGGCAUCGGGGAGUGGUAAUCAAUUUGCACCAUUAUCAGGUUAUAAGCCAGAGAUUCUUCAGCCUCUAAGAGUUCUAGAAAUACUCCAUCUGGUCCACAGGUCAUAAUAGCACACCGUUUGCAAAGUAAAUCUCAUCAAACAGAUUCAGCACUGGGCUUCUGUUUACUCCAACAUCCUGAAGGGUGAUAUUGACCCAUUACUAUGGCCACUGCUCCUGCCAGCCCUUGCCAACAGAGGAGGGCCUCCACCAAGCUUCUUAGUGAUGUUGGUGCCCCAAGUGCCAGGGAAAACCUUCUGCAGCAUCUUCAAGCACAUCUUGACAGGGACAGACGGGCCCUAUCUACAGUACCAAAAUCUUCAGAGACAUUCAGCCAGAUAACCCCACCCAUAUUUCAAGGCCUCCCAUUUUCCCAAUCCUGUACAUGACCCUAGUAUUACACACCUAUAAUGGCUGAGCAUUCAAACAUCUCUGAAGCUCAGGACUCUAACCAUAAAAGUAUUGAGUCAUCUGAUUUUCCGCUACAGAAGACAUGGCUUCCUUGUAAGCCACCGCAGAGUGCUCCCUGGCCCUCACAAAGUAACAAGUCUUUACUGCUAGUUAA